CUUGACACAGAAUCCUGUGGAAAAAUUGUCCUGAGAAACAAGAACCUGGGGCUGGAACAAUACAGGUUUCUGUUACAAACUAUUACUAAUUCUGGCAUUGGCGAAGAAACUUAUGGCCCGAAAAAUAUCAUUGAAGGCAAAGAAGAUUCUCCUUCUCUCGAGGAUGCCUUGUCUGAAAUUGAUGAUAUCAUGUUCAGCACACUCGACAAGCUUUUUGAG
rnacentral:misc_RNA from 1 species